UACGGAGGGUGCAAGCGUUAAUCGGAAUCACUGGGCGUAAAGCGCACGUAGGUGGUUUGAUAAGUAGUCUGUGAAAGCCCCGGGCUUAACCCGGGAACUGCAGACUAAACUGUCUCACUCGAGAUCAGUAGAGGGAGGUGGAAUUCCUGGUGUAGCGGUGAAAUGCGUAGAUAUCAGGAAGAACACCGGUGGCGAAGGCGACCUCCUGGACUGCAUCUGACACUGAGGUGCGAAAGCGUGGGGAGCGAACAGG
rnacentral:rRNA from 1 species